GUCAGAAUGGCCGAAGCGGUCUAAGGCGCCAUGCUUCAGUCCUGGAGGCGUGGGUUCGAAUCCCACUUCUGACA